GUGCUCACUUCAGCAGCACAUAUACUAAAAUUAGAACCAUGCAAAGAAGAUUAGCAUGGCCCCUGUGAAGGAUGACAAGCAAAUUCAUGAAAUGUUCCAUAUAUUU